rnacentral:lncRNA from 1 species
AUCUGAUAGAGAUAACCCUUAGGGCUACUCGACACAACUAUAUAAGUAGAGGAGCAGACACAAUCCUUUACCUGACCUCCAAUCAGUUGGAAAACAUCAUACAAAAUCGACCUGAAAGAAUGAAGGUUUCCUCUGUCAUUGUGCUGUUCUGCUUGGUGGCUACCAGCCUCGCUAGCUUCUACUACCCACCUAAGAUCGCGAAGAUCCUCGUCAUUCCUAAAUACGGCUAUGGAAGCUAUGGAGGCUAUGGAGGCUAUGGAGGCUACGGAGGCUAUGGAGGCUACGGUGGUUAUGGAGGAAUCGGAGCUUUGGCGGCGGCUUCGGCGGCGGCAUCGGCGGCGGCAUCGGCGGCAUCGGCGGUAUUGGCCUCCUAGGCGGUGGUCUAGGUCUUGGAGGAGGUUUUGGAGGAUUGGUGGUGUCAUGGAGGCAAAUACUAUUGAUAUUACUGAUGGAUCACACAGUCGUGUCUCACACACCAGGUCUUGGAGCUUAAUGUUGAUGUCGACAUCAGCGAAUAUUCAUAGUCACCGUACUAUAAUGCACUCUUGGCUACAUCAAUAAAGUUUCUUGAACGCAU